CACGUAGGGUGUCGAGCGUUGUCCGGAAUUAUUGGGCGUAAAGAGCUCGUAGGCGGUGUGUCGCGUCGGCCGUGAAAACCUGCAGCUUAACUGUGGGCUUGCGGUCGAUACGGGCAUCACUGGAGUUCGGUAGGGGAGACUGGAAUUCCUGGUGUAGCGGUGAAAUGCGCAGAUAUCAGGAGGAACACCGAUGGCGAAGGCAGAUCUCUGGGCCGUAACUGACGCUGAGGAGCGAAAGCAUGGGGAGCGAACAGG
rnacentral:rRNA from 1 species